UACAGAGGUCUCAAGCGUUGUUCGGAUUCAUUGGGCGUAAAGGGUGCGUAGGCGGCGCCGUUAGUCAGGUGUGAAAUCUCGGGGCUCAACCCCGAAACUGCACUUGAUACUGCGGUGCUCGAGGACUGGAGAGGAGACUGGAAUUCAUGGUGUAGCAGUGAAAUGCGUAGAUAUCAUGAGGAAGGCCAGUGGCGAAGGCGGGUCUCUGGACAGUUCCUGACGCUGAGGCACGAAGGCCAGGGGAGCAAACGGG
rnacentral:rRNA from 1 species